AAUGAACGCUGGCGGCAUGCCUAACACAUGCAAGUCGAACGAAGGCUUCGGCCUUAGUGGCGCACGGGUGCGUAACGCGUGGGAAUCUGCCCUCAGGUUCGGAAUAACAGCGAGAAAUUGCUGCUAAUACCGGAUGAUAUCGCGAGAUCAAAGAUUAUCGCCUGAGGAUGAGCCCGCGUAGGAUUAGCUAGUUGGUGUGGUAAAGGCGCACCAAGGCGACGAUCCUUAGCUGGUCUGAGAGGAUGAUCAGCCACACUGGGACUGAGACACGGCCCAGACUCCUACGGGAGGCAGCAGUGGGGAAUAUUGGACAAUGGGCGAAAGCCUGAUCCAGCAAUGCCGCGUGAGUGAUGAAGGCCUUAGGGUUGUAAAGCUCUUUUACCCGGGAUGAUAAUGACAGUACCGGGAGAAUAAGCUCCGGCUAACUCCGUACCAGCAGCCGCCGUAA
rnacentral:rRNA from 1 species